rnacentral:rRNA from 1 species
ACUACGAGCAUCAGCUUAAAACCCAAAGGACUUGGCGGUGCUUUAGAUCCCCCUAGAGGAGCCUGUCCUAGAACCGAUAAUCCCCGUUAAACCUCACCCCCCCUUGUUCUCCUAGCCUAUAUACCGCCGUCGUCAGCUUACCCUGUGAAGGACUUAUAGUAAGCAUAAUUGGCAUAACCCAGAACGUCAGGUCGAGGUGUAGCUUAUGGGAGGGAAAGAGAUGGGCUACAUUCCAUGACACACGGAAUACGAACGAUGUCCUGAAACACACAUCUGAAGGAGGAUUUAGUAGU